rnacentral:sRNA from 1 species
AUCCGCUAGGCGGGGCUCUGGCUGGGUCGCUCGGCUUUAGAGCGUGCGGACCCGGCCGAUCCCGCGAGGCGAGGUCGGAUGGUGGUGGCAGCCGUGGUGAUGCGGUGCGCGGGUCAUCGGGGCGGGGUGUAGCCUAGUGGGGGAGAGAGGGAAAGGGGGAAGGCCAAAGCC